rnacentral:rRNA from 1 species
AACGUAGGAGACAAACGUUAUCCGGAGUUACUGGGCGUAAAGGGCGUGUAGGUGGUUCUGUAAGUCUGGCGUGAAAUUUCUCGGCUUAACCGAGGCAGGUCGUCGGAUACUGCGGGGCUAGAGGACGGUAGAGGCGUGGUGGAAUUCCGGGUGUAGUGGUGAAAUGCGUAGAGAUCCGGAGGAACACCAGUGGCGAAGGCGACACGCUGGGCCGUACCUGACACUGAUGCGCGACAGCAUGGGGAGCAAACAGG